GACGAACGCUGGCGGCGUGCUUAACACAUGCAAGUCGAACGGAAAGGCUCUGCUUUUGUGGGGUGCUCGAGUGGCGAACGGGUGAGUAACACGUGAGUAACCUGCCCUUGACUUUGGGAUAACUUCAGGAAACUGGGGCUAAUACCGGAUAGGAGCUCCUGCUGCAUGGUGGGGGUUGGAAAGUUUCGGCGGUUGGGGGUGGACUCGCGGCUUAUCAGCUUGUUGGUGGGGUAGUGGCUUACCAAGGCUUUGACGGGUAGCCGGCCUGAGAGGGUGACCGGCCACAUUGGGACUGAGAUACGGCCCAGACUCCUACGGGAGGCAGCAGUGGGGAAUAUUGCACAAUGGGCGGAAGCCUGAUGCAGCAACGCCGCGUGCGGGAUGACGGCCUUCGGGUUGUAAACCGCUUUCGCCUGUGACGAAGCGUGAGUGACGGUAAUGGGUAAAGAAGCACCGGCUAACUACGUG
rnacentral:rRNA from 1 species